rnacentral:lncRNA from 1 species
AACAACUCAUAUCUCUAGGUUUGAAGAAUAUAAGAUAUUAUCGUCUCAUGAUCACUCGUGAUAAAAUCCAUGAAGUGAUUCCAAUGAGCGCGGGUUGAAUCCAAUACUCAGAACUUAUGAGCACUCAUGAGUGUUGUAGCCCUUUGUCCAACACCUUAGACCUCUACAAGCCAACCCAUGACAGUCUUAAUUCAUAUCUACUUCCAACAUAUGACCGACUGUGGAUGGUUUGAAUAACUUAGUCAUUCCGGAAGAAUAACCUAGUUUAUUCGGGAAGUCAAAACAUGCAAAGUGAAACACAAUAAUAAUUGAAUCCAAUAUGGUAUCAACCCUUUGAACAUAAAUAAAACACCUUUUAUUUAUCACCAUAUGAUUACACAUUAUUCAUUGUAUACUGUUUCAGCUAUCAACUUUAUUCUUGAAUUUAAAACAAUAGUUGUCCCAUGCUCCAAGCAUGUACACUAUGUUUUCUUAAACACUAGUCAUGCCACACACCAAGUAUGCAUACUAUGUUUGUCUAUGAUCUUUACUUUGUGAACUAGAUCAAUUGAACAUAACUUCAAUGAUUCUCUUUUCACACUCCCAAAUCCUUACUGCAAAUGCAAGAAUUCCAAAUUCAUGCCAUUUACUGAAAUCUGUUAGAUUCUAAACUUAUAUGCAUUGAUCCUCUUGUAAUGAUUAUGCACAAAGUCACAAAGACUUGGCAACAAUCAUUACAGAGUAUUCCAAAGGAGAUCAACUCCUUGGAAAUAUCCUUCUUGCAUUAAGUUUCCUUAAUCUUACACAGAUUGAAAAUUCUAACUUUGAAACAUUUCCAGAUUCCAUUUUGACUAUCACUUCUGAACAAGAGUUGCCUCCUUACAGAUUAUGUCAAUAUGGUCCUUCCAGAAUUAUCACUAUACUUCCAAUUGUCCUUGAGUAACCAAUCUUUGGUAAACCUUAGAUUGUCCUCGACAAUUGUUUAAUCCUUUUAGUCAUAUCCAGUUCUAAACCUUUUCCCUUCUUAAUGCCCCAGGCAUUUGGAAAAUUUUAGAACGGAUGAAUAUAGCACAUGUAAUCGAUCCUAUAUCCGAAGCAUAUGGGACACGAUUCAUGAUGUCUUACAUAAAGACUAAACCAGUCUUUUGCUAUAAUAUUUCCAUUUCAAUUUGCCAAGUUCUCAUAAUUCAGAUUAUGAAAAGGGAUGCCGUAAUCAUAAUCGAAUUUUAGAACGCAAAUAAUGGACCCAUAUACAGAAUUUCCUUAUGUUGAGCCAUUCCAACAUGAAAUUCAUAUAUAUCCUUGACUAAAUGAUUAAAACCUCACGAUCUAAGCUUAUAGAUUUGAGAUGAAGCAUAAUUUCCUCUCCCUUAAUUAUAGCAAAACAACUUUUUCCCAAUUGAAACUUUUGUUUUCUAUAAUUAACAUUGCUAACUUGCAAUACUUAUCAUAAUUAUCAUGCUCCCACUAACAUGAUGAUUAUUAGCAUAACACUUAUGCUCCCACUAGCUUUGACAUGUACUCAGAAAUCAGCUGGACAGUCUGAAAUUUAGAUUCAUACACCCUUUCCGUAGAUAGCUCACCUGUGUGUCUAAGCAAUUUCAAGAACCAUGAAAAGGGAUACCGUAAUCAUGGUCUCAAUUGCUUAGGCAUUUGCCAUUUCUCACAAGUCCAUGUUAGUGUGCCGGUUAACCACACGCGCUCCACUAACGACUUUUGAAAAUGCAAAUAACACAAUUGAUAUCUUCGUAAAAUCUACUUAGUGAAAGCGUUUCCUCACCAUCAUUUUCAUGAAUCGGAGAGAAACCUUAUGACACUUAGAUUUAUAUGGUGUAUGAGUUCCUACCCAUAUGAAUUUGUCAAACCAUAAUCACAAGACAAAGAUAAUGACAAAUCCAAAACCAUAUGGAUUGAACUCAAUCUUAACUUCUUGCCACCUGGCAGCUCAAGGGCCUGCCAUUGCUUCCAAGUUGUUGUGCAACAAAUUGAGAACUCUAAGAACUCAUAUGCAAAACCAACUUUAACUGGAAUGGGCACAGAAUAUGUCAACACGAUAGGUUAUGAACCUCAAGUCGUGUGCUAGUGAAGAACUUUAGGUUUUAUUCUUGAUUAUUUCUUGAGACUUUCAAGACCUUUAAGACUCCCACUGUCCUCUUGACAUAUAAGACUCCCUUGUCAAACAUCCAAGAGAUAGUGCGGAUUCUAAUCAAGAAAAACACUUUACCCAAUUGGCCUAAGUUGGUCUUUGUUUUAUCCAAAACAUCACAACUUACCAAUUUCAAAUGUACAAGAGUAGAAAACUUUUACUCUUACAUUUGACAAGUGUUUUAAACCUUCUUUAAGACAUGUCACUCAAAUGACAAUCUUGGAGUAUGACUCUAAGACUUGUAUUGGAACGAAGUAUGACUCAUCUUCUUGAUUUAACCAUUUCAACAAUUCAAGUUCCUCUUCUUAGUCAUAAGAAUGCACUAAGAUUUCCUUAGAGAACUAAUUUUGAUAUGGUUUCUUAAUCAUUAAGAUGAUCACAAAACUGAUACUAAAGUACUCUCCCAUCUUUUCAGAUUUGAGAAACUUUUAUCCUUCUGCCUUAUUUGAUUCUUCUUAUCGAUCUUUAGUGGUGGACUUAAUCAGUGCACAAGAAUGUGUACUCGAUCCCUAAGUCCUUUACUUGACUCACACAUCCAUGUGAACAAGUAAUUAGUCUUAAUUUUCCAAAACUUGAAAGUUCUCAUUCAUCAUGCUAUACAACUUGCAUGAUUCCAAGUUCCGGUCCAAUUGAAACUUGGGUGAUGAGAAUCUUUCCUUAUUUGGUAAAUUUAGACAUUACCACAAAUGAAAGAAUCAAUUUCAUACUUCCACUCUUGCUACUAAUGGAAUCUUAUAAGCAACAAAAAUUUCCACAGAUGCCAUUGUAAGGAUAUUUUAAAAUAAAUAAAAUCAAAAAUUUCCUUUUAUUUUAAAACUUUGCGGAAAAACUAUCCUUACAAUCCAUAUGAAAACUUGUUGUUAUCUAUUCCUAAGCAAUAUCUCAUAACUCCUAAGAAGUAGCUCAAGAAUCCGAUUUUUCAAACUAUGCGAUAGAAAUCCAUCUAUGCGAUCAGAUUCAGCAUAUUCUUCCUUUAAGUUUCUUCACUUUCCUUUGAUUCUUAAACCAUCACCAUGCGACCCGGUCACAUCAUGUAUCAAGAAUCUCAGAAUAGAAACUUAACAGAGUUAGAUAGUGGAUUUUACCUGAAGUAGAGUCAAACUUAUUGACUUUAACAUCCUUAGGUAAAUUUGGCAGCUUCGCAACCAAUGCCCUUUCUUUGGCAAUACAAACAUAUGGACCCUUUGAUAAUGGUACACAGGACUAUCACAGACUUAGCUUUUCUCUUUACCAUUUGGUCAACCGAGUUGACUAUAGCCGAUCCCUUUCCAUUGGGAAGAGAAUGCUUUACUGGAUAUCCAAUGUCAUCAUUGUCAAUGUCCAUAAAGUUUUAGGAAGUUGAUCUUAGCAAAUAGAUAAGAUCAUUAAGGGUCUUGUCAUAGUCUGUUUCAUAGGUGUCCCAAAGGAACUCACUAUGUGACUUAGAAAGUGGUUGAACCACCAACUUUCUCAAGACUUUGACACCCAACUCUCCCGGCUUGUCAAUAUGUGACUACAUCUCCAAGAUGUGACCACACCUAGACCUUGCCUUGCCAAUAGGGCCUGAGUGACCUUAAACUUUUCAAGAACUUGUGGGUUAGGGAGAAUAAUUUGAAGAGGUGAAGAAGUAUGAUAUCCAUGGGACAUCAUCUUCAUUAGGAAACCUUGUUUCAAGAGAUUUGGGAAGAUCAUAGGUGUCUAAACCAGACAUCUUUUGGGAGAUAUUCAAGAUAGUUGAUUUAAAGUCCUUAAUAUGACACCCAAUAUGAAAUAUUAAGGCUAGGACCCAACAAACUAUUUUAUAACUUAGAAGAGGUAUGCCGUAAUCCAAGCUAUAAAAUAUUUGAAGGUAGGUGAAUGACGAUUCACCAAUUUCCACCAAGAUAAACGAAAUGUAUUAUUAGGUUUUAAUUGGUUUUGAAACUCCUAGAUCUUUGAGAUUCAUUGAACUUUUCAAAGGCAUGUUUCAAUCUCGAGUGUGCCCUUCAGGUUUUGUGACUGGGAUGCCGAGGAUCACAAAACAAGGUGUGAAGUAACCAUGCAAAUCACUUGGUACCCUUAAUAAAUUACCCCUCAAUCGAUGUGCCGGUUAACCACACACGCUCCAUCGAUACUAUGAUAAAUAUUAAGUCACCCUUUACCUACCUUGUUAAGUCCAAGUUAGUGUGCCGGUUAACCACACACGCUCCACUAACGACUUAGACAAAGUGUAAAGUGUAAUUUCAUGGAUUAGCACCUUAUUCACAUUUUUCCUAAGUAACUAAGAUUGGGUAUUAUUAAGAGUUUAGUUACUUAGUAUUAUCAUUAAUACUUUUAAUGAAGGGAGAAUUCUAGUCCUGUCAAACCCGUUCGGCUAACGACCCUCCACCAGUCAAGCAAGCGGUGGGUGAGAGUGGACACCCAUUAAGUUGCCAUUUUAUAGGCAACAACCUUAUACCCACCUUAUAGACCGGCUUCGUGAAUGAGGCGUACUAGCGGUAAGACUGACUUUACUCUUAUACAUAUAUAUAUUAUUAACUUAUAAUAUUAUAAAGUAUAAGGGUUGAAUUUUAACUUUUAAAAUUCUAAGGGCUAACUUGGAAUUAAAGUAUUCAUAAGUGAAAACUUUACAAAUUCCAAAACUUGAGGGCAAGUUUUGAAACUAUUCAAAACUAAUUAAUUCCAUAACUUAUGUGUUUAAAGUAGUUUUAAUCCAAAAACUCUUCAAGUUCCAUAACUUGAGGACAAGUUAUGGAAGACUUUAAACUAAUAAAAGAAUUAACUUUUCUUUAUUUUAUAACUUAUGGAAUUAAUUAAGGUUACACCUUUUUUUAUUUUAUUUUAUUUUAUUAAAUGAAGAGACUCUUGGUCCUCCAUAACUUGAGGACAAGUUAUGGAGUCAUAAAACCAUUUAAUUAGAACUAGACUCUUCAUUUUUGUAACCUUUGCCAAUUUUUAUGAGUUUUAUGAUUCUUAAAUGUGACUUUUCAUAUAACUUGAGGACAAGUUACAAAAACACAUUUUAGAAUCAAUUCUUAGAUUAAUUUGGAUUAAAACCAACUAUCACAUAAUUUUAUUCAUUAAUCUAAAUUCACUCAUAAAACAAGGUAACACAAAAAACUUUUGGUGAUCCAUAACUUAUUCUUAAGUUAUGGAAUCCUUUAAAACAUUAACACCAAAUUUUGUAACUCCAAAAAAACUUUGAAUCAAUUUUUUUUUUAAAACCUUUUCAUAUCCAUAACUUAUGGAGGUUUCAAAAAAUAAAACUCUUUAGAUCAAACUUUUAAAACUAAUAAAAUAAUCAUAUUAUUUUAUCUUUUAUUAAAUUUGACCUAAUUCAACUCAUAAAGCAAAUUAUUCAAAUUUUACAAAUAAUUAGUUUUUCACAAGAACAAGUAAUUAUCUUAAAAUUUGACAAACUUCAUGUUUUUUUUUUUUUUUUUUUUUCAACUUUGAAAAUAAAAUAUUUGCAUCAAUAUAACAGAAAACAACCCGUGGCUCUGAUACCACUGUUGGGUUUUGAGCAUUCUAACACUUCCUAAGUGUACAUGCAACCCUAAAUACCUUGGAUCUAUGUUUUCUCUAUUAUACAUGCAAAUAAGAACAUCCAAGGUAUUAUCCUAAUCUAGCAUACAAAAACUAUGAAUGUAACAAGAUAGAAUACAUACCUCUUGAUGUAGCUUGAUGUCUUCAAGCUUUAAGAGCUUAGCCCCAAUAGUGUGGAAGCCUCAAGUGGAAUCACAAAUCACCAAGACACCUUGGAAUACUUUAGAGAAUAUGAUUACUUGGUUCUCUCUAGUGAAAUUGGCUAGCCCUUCUUUAGUGUAUCCACACUAGUGCCAAUUUCACCAACCAAAGACAUCUUUAUAUAGUAUGGAGGAUUAGGGUUAAACCCUAAUACCCAUGACCUUUCAUUUCCUAGGAUCCAUGGGUUAAACACUCCAUGGACUAUCCAUGAAAGCUUAGCCCAACCUAAAUGAACUUGGCCCAUUCCAUAUAUAUAAGAGUCCAUAUUUAAUUAGUUCCUUUUGAUCACUUAAUUAAUUAUAAAUUAAUUCUUGAUCAAUACUAAUUAAAUAAUAUGAUUCCAUAUUAAUAUAUUAGAACUUAUAAUAUAUUAAUAUUAAUCAUAAACAUACUAUUCUCAAAAGAUUAUCCAUAUAAAUUGUGUCGGUGAAGUGCAACCCAAAUGGACCAUGCCGGGUCGGGUCAAGUACAUACCAAAUAUAGUUAUGGACUUAGACAUUAAUCCAACAUAAAGAACACCGAAAUCGGAGUUAUAACAAAGAAGUUAUGACCCGUCAAAGUUUUGCGACGGAACCGGCACGAUACCGGGAAACGUAAAUAGUGAAUUUACGAUAGAGUGAGAUUUAGCCUUAGCGAUCUAAACGAACGUCAUAGAAUACGUUAAACCGAGAGCAUCCAUAAAAAGAAUGCCCAAAUCUGAUUACGUAUGAAGAAGUAAUCAUUUUUCGAAGUUUCGGAUUAGUAGUGUACAGCCCGAAAUUUGAAUAAUAGACCGAGCGGUUUUAGCCGACACGACCUAAAUGAGAAUCGAAGAUCUCGUUAAGAGUAGCGUAACGAGAAAAAGAUGAGCGAAAACGGACAUCGGAUGAAGAAGUUAUGAGAAUUUUACGGACCAAUCUUGUCCCGGCCUGUUAAUAAUGUAACUUUUAAAAUAAAGUCAAAAUUAGUCGACGGAGUCUAAAAGAAAGUUGUAGAGUACAUUCCCGCCUUCGCGUGGAUAUAAAUAACAUCAAAAACGGAGCUCAUAUACGAAAGAUACGAAUUUUUAAAGUUUGUAGUCGAAAUUGUGAAGUCUAAUAAGAACCUGAUGACGUGGCAGCAUCUGGGCCAUCCGAUGUUGGUUCAGGAGUCACUUCGGAUCACGCCACGUUUCCCUCGCAUACGCCCCGCGUAGCUUCGGUUUCUUAUCCAUUCCAAGGUGCGAGCCAGCUGGAUGCGAGCUGGAGGCUUAUCCGAACUAUGCCCAGCGUAGUCCCGUCCGACGCGCAGCGUAUGUCCGAGGAUCUGGCGCCUAUAAAAGGCAUGCAAAGUUGCCCGAAUUUCUCACACUUUUCUCCACUGUUUCUCUCACUACUUUCUCUCUCUAGCUCCCCUAAAACCCCCUAAAUCCUAGGUAAACCCCCUAGCACCCGAGAGAAGCCCCAAGGCUCCCGGAGUCCCGAGAAAAAGGGUCUUUCGGUUUCGGAAACGCUGCUCCGAGCAAAGCCCGGUUUUCUUUAAAAUCCGCUGUAAGUGAGCUACGCUUGCGCAAUUUUUAAUAUAGCUUUCAAAUAAUUAUAGUAAUGUUAUUAGGUCCUUAAAAUAACUAUUUGGGCUAUUAUUAUGAGUUAUUAAUUUAUCGUGGUUAUUGUUAGACUAAACCCUAGUGGUAUUGAUACUAGGUUUUAUCGAAGGAAAUUGUUUUGAGAGUAUCGAAGCGCUGUCUAAGUGCUGAGUCACCACCUUUCAAGUGAGUGCAUAGUUACUUUCAUCUUACACAUAGAUAUGAAGUAUUUUAUAUAAAUUACGUGCUAUGUGUGCAUAUUAUCUGAAUACUUGUUGUCUAUGCUGGAUGAACGAUUUUAUACAUGUUUUAAAUGAUUUAAGCUGUAUAUGUAUUUUAUAUCUACAAUAAUGUUGGGGAAAAACAUGGGUAGAUAUAAUAGAUGGAAUAUGAGUUUGAUGAUGAGUUAAUAGGUGUUAUAGACCACGAGGUGAGGGUGAAAGGUGGACGAUGUGAGAAGACUUUUCCCAAACGAUGGCCUAACCCCUGAGUUAAGAGGUGUUAUAUGUUCAGUUUUUGCAUGAUAUAAUGAUUUGAUCUGUGAAUAUGCAGACUUGAUGCCUAACCCCUGGCGUCUAUGCAGACUUAGUGCCUCUUGUGUAAACCGUGGCAAAGAUGGACUUCGUGCCGAUUCCUUAGGAUGAUCCUUAGGAAUAAAUGAAUGAGGAAUAGCUGAUUUUUAGGGUAGAUCCUUAAGAAUAAAGAAGAUAAUGGGGAUGGGUAAUUGGGUUGAUUGUUUAAUUGUUUAAACAUAAUAAUUAUAUUAUUGUGGGUUGAAAACCCUAUGUACUCACCAGGUUUCCCAACCUGACCCACUCAGUUUAUUUAUAUCACAGGUGUCGAUAUCAAGUGACAUUACAUUGAGAGAUUAAAGAGUUGUAGAUCACUAGUGUAAAUAAAUGUAAGUUCCGUUUAUGCUUAUGUUCAUGUAUUGACGAUGACAUCCCAAACGUUUUAAAAUGAAUAAAAUACGUUUCUUCGAAAAUGUUUUGAUAACGUAUUUAUCGUAUUGAUUUUUUUUUUUCUGGGAACAAAUUCUGCAACAUUUUUAUGAAAAGAAGUACUCUGAUUUUUACAAAGCAUAAACAUAAUCGGUCAUUUCUGGCCAUGAAAAUGGGGAUGUCACAGUUGGUAUCAGAGCAUUAGUUUAAGAAAACUAGGAAUAUGGAUUUAUUUCUAGACUUAAACUUAUAAUGCUAAGCAAGGAUUGUGAGGUUUGUGUAUAAUAGAUUUAGGUAAUACACCUGAAUAGACACAAGCACUAGCUUAUUUUAGGAAUGAUGUCUAAUUUGCUUUUACGUACUAAAUGAUUUGUUAUGCUUUAUGCUAUAGUUUGAUCGGAUCUAUGGUCUGUUGCUGACCGGAUCUGGAAACCUUAUGUGUUUAGGAUUCUAAACGUACAAAUAUGAUAUUAGAACUAGCAUGUAAACGUUUUGGAGUGAUAAAUAUGAUUUAAAAUGUCUAUCCUAAAUAAAGAUCUAGAUUCACCUUAUUUGGUGUAUAGAUCCAUAUGGCAAGGACCCGUAGCGGAAACGUAAACACAAAUGGAAAUAGGAACCAACCCCCUCAACCUCCAAUGAUACAACAAAUACCUGUUGUCGAAGAAGUGGAACCUGAGCCAAUAACGAUGGCCGGAGUGCAAGUGAUGAUCCAGAUGAUGUUGGAUCGCCAAAUGGAGGAAACAAGGCGCUUACUUCAACAGAACUGGGAAGAACUUACGGUACCAAUUGAACAACCCGAGUUGAAUGAUGGGCAGAUAGAAGGAGGAAACUAUAGUGGGACUGUUGGUCAAGCCAACCCACCAAUAGUUAGGCGAAACCACCAGGAUGGAGGAAAUGACGGACGUGGAUGCAAGUACAAGGAUUUCAUGGCAUCUAAACCCCCGAGUCUUUCUGGAAGCCCAUCACCGGUAGAAGUUAUGGACUGGAUCUAUGAGAUGGAGACGAUGUUUGAGAGUUGUGAGUGUAGCAACAGGCAAAAGAUCGCUCUCACGGUUCCUUUGUUGAAAUCUGGAGUACUAAGCUGGUGGAAGCUACUAGCUGAUUCAAUGCCCAAAGGAGAAGCGAGCAAGAUGUCGUGGGAAGAUUUCCUGGUGCAACUAAAAAUGCAGUAUUGCACUGAGCGGGAUCUUCUGGAGAUCAACAAUGAGUUCAAGAAUCUAAAGAAGGGAAGGAUUAGUGUCAUCGAGUAUGCUGCAAGUUUUACGGAGAAAAUGAAGCUUGUUCCUUAACUAGUUCCAACUGAGCUCUCCAAGGUCAACAAGUUUGCCCAUGGAUUACCAGCAAACUUUGGACAAAUGGUCAAGCAAGCAACCACUUUGAAAGGAGCCAUAUGGGCAGCUAGGAAUGUUGGCACCUAGAUUAGGGAAAAAGGGUCUAAAGAGAGCUGAAGUUGGCGAGAAAAGGAAGCAUGAAGGAUCUUCAAAGUCCAACAAAGAAAGGAAAUUCUCAAAGACUGGAGAAGGAGGAGGAGGUGAGGCCAAGUGGUGCGAGAAGUGUAAAAAGAAGCACUCCGGGAAAUGUAGUGAGGAUGUGACUUGCUACAAAUAUGGAAAGACAGGGCAUUACGCCAGCAAGUGUGCGUCCAACAAGAAGGUGUGCUAUGGAUGUAACAAAGAAGGGCAUAUUUCUAGGGACUGCGCAAAGAAAAACAAGGCAGCAAGACCAAACACACUACCAAGGCCAAGGGCAUUCCACAUGAUCCUCGACGAGGCAGAAAACAACGCGAGGAAUCAAGGAUGAGGACUUCAUAUCUGAAGAUCAAGUUAUGCAGUAGCCAUAGUAUCGUAUGAUGUAGCCUAUUAGAGGCAUAGUCUAGGGUGAACUUGAACACCUAUGUAAUAGUUUCGAGAAAUAAUAAAGCCCUUGUUUUUUUAUCGGAUGUGUUAAACUGUUCUGUGAUUUUCUUGCAUGGUGACUUGGAAAAACUGCGAGACAAUACUUGGGACGAGUAUGAGUAGGUGUGAAAGGUAGUAGAUGCAUAUACUACCAGAAGCACAAGACUCACGCUUGGAUCAGGGAAAGUCACAAGGUUACCAAGAAGCUAGUAAUUCAUUCCGAAUAUGUCGUUACCAUUGUUUCGGUAAAAACUAAGAACAUGAUUAUUACUCCGACCCUAGUGGUCAUAUCAAAUUGAGUCUGACUACAAUAAGUAUGUUACGUGGUUCAGAGAAUCAAGUUCGAUGUACCAUCUGACUUAAGACGGAAGAUUGGAAUAAAAAGCGAUCAGUAGAGGUAUCACGAAAAGUUGAUUGUAGCUAGAAAUGCUACCUUUUAAAAUGUGAUUAUCUCACAUUAGAACAUGAAGGAUGGUAUAGUCAAUUUUGGAAUUUAACUCUAAGAGACCUGAGUCUAAACGUGCAUCACAUGAUGGUAGGUCAUAAUUUGGAGUCUAACCUGAGAUAGAAAGCAGGUGCACGAUCGAGUACUACUUACAGCCAAUAAGUCUAAGAGAUAGACUUGAAGGAAUGUAGAAAUUACAAUUAUUACCUAGGAUGAAUAGAUGACGUAUGGAGUCAUUAUACGAGCCCUGUUUUGUUGAUGAUUCCGGGACGUAAACAUCCUAAGGGGGAGAUACUUGUAACGCACGUAGAUCCGGGCUAGUCAAAUUAGAGGCAAUUAGUGUCGAAAACGAAUUUUUACAAGGUUUCUGUACAUAUAAAGAACGCCGAAAUCCGAGUUAUCACGAAGAAGUUAUGACCCGUCGAAGUUUCGCGACGGAACCGGCACGAUAUCGGGAAACGUAAAUAGUGAAUUUACGAUAGAGUGAGAUUUAGCCUUAGCGAUCUAAACGAAGGUCGUAGAAUAUGUUAAACCGAGAGCAUCCAUAACAAGAACGCCCAAAUCUGACUACGUAUGAAGAAGUUAUGAUUUUUCAAAGUUUCGGAUUAGCAGUGUAUAGCCCAAAAUUCAGAUAAUAGACCAAGCGGUUUUAGCUGACACAACCUAAACGAGAAUCGAAGAUCUCGUUAAGAGUAGUGUAACGACAAAAAGAUGGGCGACAACGGACGUCGGAUGAAAAAGUUAUGAGAAUUUAACGGACCAAUCAUGUCCCGGCCUAUUAAUAAUGUAACUUUUAAAAUAAAGUCAAAAUUAGCCAACGGAGUCUAAACAAAAAUUGUAGAGUACGUUCCCGCCUUCGCGUGGAUAUAAAUAACGUCAAAAAUGGAGCUCGUAUGCAAAAGAUACGAAUUUUUAAAGUUUGUAGUCGAAAUUACGAAGUCUAAUAAGAACCUGAUGAUGUGGCAGCAUCUGGGGCAUCCGAUGUUGGUUCAGGAGUCGCUUCGGAUCACACCACGUUGCCCUCGCAUACGCCCCACGUCCAAAGAAGUUACGCCCCGCGUAGCUUCGGUUCUUAUCUAUUCCGAGGUGCGAGCCAGCUGGAUGCGAGCUAGAGGCUUAUCCGAACUACACCCAGUGUAGUCCUGUUCGACGCACAGCGUAAGUCCGAGGAUCAGGCGCCUAUAAGAGGCAUGCGAAGUUUCCCGGAUUUCUCAUAGUUUUCUCCACUCUUUCUCUCACUACUUUCUCUCUCUAGCUCCCUAAAACCCCCUACACCCUAGGUAAACCCCCUAGCACCCGAGGGAAGCCCCGAGGCUCCCGGUGUCCCGAGAAAAAGGGUCUUUAGGUUUCGGAAACGCUGCUCCGAGCAAAGCCCGAUUUUCUUUAAAAUCUGCUAUAAGUAAGCUACGCUUGCGCAAUUUUUAAUAUACCUUUCAAAUAAUUAUAGUAAUGUUAUUAGGUCCUUAAAAUAAUUAUUUUGGCUAUUAUUAUGAGUUAUAUCGAGUGUUAUUUAACGCUUAUAUAAUAGUAAUAAUAGUCAGACUCUUAAUUUGUCGCGGUUAUCGUUAGACUAAACCCUAGUGGUAUUGAUACUAGGUUUUAUUAAAGGAAAUUGUUUUGAGAGUAUCGAAGCGCUGUCCGAGUGUUGAUUCACCACCUUUCAAGUGAGUGCAUAGUUACUUUCAUCUUACACAUAGAUAUGAAGUAUUUUACAUAAAUUACGUGCUAUGUGUGCAUAUUAUCUGAAUACUUGCUGUCUAUGUUGGAUGAACGAUUUUAUACAUGUUUUAAAUGAUUUGAACUGUAUAUAUGUAUUUUUUAUCUACGAUAAUGUUGGGGGGAAACAUGGGUAGAUGUAAUAGAUGGAAUAUGAGUUUGAUGAUGAGUUAAGAGGUAUUAUAGACCACGAGGUGAGGGUGAGAGGUGGACGAUGUGAGAAGCCUUUUUCCCAAGCGAUGGCCCCGUCAUUCAGCGGAGUAUGGAUGACAACCACAGACUAUUCUAGACAGUCCAGUGGAACACUAGCAGGCUCGCAACCUGUAGGUGUUGUGAACGAUGUGUUCACCCGGUGUACUCUAAACCUUGGCGACCAUGCAGACUUGGUGCCUAAACCUUGGUGAUCGUGCAGACUUGAUGCCUAAACCCUAGCGACUAUGUAGACUUAGUGCCCCUUGUGUAAACCUUGGCGAUCAUGCAGACUUGAUGCCUAACCCCUGGCGACUAUGCAGACUUAGUGCUUGUUGUGUAAACCGUGGCAACAAUGGACUUCGUGCCAAUUCCUUAGGAUGAUCCUUAGGAAUANNNNNNNNNNNNNNNNNNNNNNNNNNNNNNNNNNNNCCUUAAGAAUAAAGAAGAUAAUGGGGAUGGGUACUUGGGUUGACUAUUUAAUUGUUUAAACAUAAUAAUUAUAUUAUUGUGGGUUGAAAACCCUAUGUACUCACUAGGUUUCCCAACCUGACCCACUCAGUUUAUUUAGAUCACAGGUGUCGAUAUGAAGUGACAUUACACUGAGAGAUUAAAGAGAUGUAGAUCACUAGUGUAAAUAAAGGUAAGUUCCGUUUAUGCUUAUGUUCGUGUAUUGACGAUGACAUCCCAAAUGUUUUAAAAUGAAUAAAAUACGUUUCUUCGAAAAUGUUUUGAUAACGUAUUUAUCAUUUUUUUUUCUGGGAACAAAUUCCGCAACAUUUUUAUGAAAAGAAGUACUCUGAGUUUUACAAAGCAUAAACAUAAUCGGUAUUUUCUGGCCAUGAAAAAUGGGGAUGUCACACUCUCUAAAAUACAACAUAAAAUAUCAGAUAUCCACUCGAGCAUACUCGCACUCGAUAACACAACCCUACUUGUUCCCUAGUACCCUAAGGAUUCUUACUUGGAUUGAGCACUGCGACGGUGUCUUCGGUAGUACGGGCCCUUAGACUACCGUCCACACUGCAUCAGUAUUCACCCCAUGUCCUCCUCCUUGGAUCCCAGAUCACAAGUACUCUACAUCUCACUAGCAUAGGCUACCCUUCGGUAGACCUCUCAUAAGCUCCUCACUGCUACCUACUCACCUUCAAGCAUCUAAUAGUAGAAGAAAUCUUCCUAGGCUAAGGCAUCACAAAUGAGACCACUCUAGUCCUAAUAUGUAUACCUAGCCUACUCUAGCAUGCAUAUCAUAUCAUAACAUAUCUCAUAACACAUAAUGUAAGGGUAUUUUGGGAAAUCACCGUUUGGGCGCUGGCUGAUCGUACACACUACUCCGUUCUGCCUUUCUCAAAAUCUUUACUCUCUUGGAAAAAUUGUUUAGUGUAUGAAAAACUUACUCAAAUACUCAGCUUGAGUUUAGAUACACCCGAAGAUGCACUCGAAUCCCUCAAACCAAGGCUCUGAUACCAACUUGUAACAACAUAAAUUUUUAAAACAAUUUUUCAUUUUUAAAAUCAUAUUUUCAAUGACCAAAAACAAUAUCCAACAACUGUAUCUAAUGUCAUCAUAACAAACAAAUCCCAGAAUCUCGAAAUAUCUCAACUACAUAAAUACCCUCAGUGUAUACGGAUCAUGUCGGCAGCUUCCCACGGUCCUCGCUAGUACCUGAAACAUCCAACACAACAACUGUAACCAUAAAUGCUUAGUGAGUUCCCCAAAAUACCACAUACAACACAUACGCCUUUCCAGGCCAUAACUCUGUGGGACCUUCCGGCCCAAGUGUCUCAGGAGAAUUCUGUCCCAUAUCCCGGUAGACCUUCCGGUCCUACCCAUAUCGAGCUUCUGAUCCGUAACCUCCUGACCUUCCGGUCCAUGUCCUCUUGACCUUCCAUCCAUAUCAUCUUGACCUUCCGGUCCCUAUCAUACAUAGCAUACAUAACACAUACAUAUCACAUAUCAGCAUAUAGCACAUAUAAGACCUUUCGGUCACACAUAGGUACCCUUUUAGGUACAAUAUUGUGAGAAGACUCACCUCGGCUAUCUCGGAUAAUCUCGCACAUGGAUACACUAAUCUAGCCUCCGCCUAAACACAUAAACAAUUAUCUCAAAUCAAUAACGGCUCUUCAGGCUAGACUAGUCUCUUCCAUGUCCUCUAAGAAGGCUAAAAGACCAUUUUACCCUUCAAAUGGUCUUAGAGCUCAAUUGUUGACCAAACCCUAAAAGUCAACAAAAGUCAACGGUCAAACUUUGACCAGACUCGUCGAGUGCACUCAUGCGACUCGAUGAGUCCAUGCAUGUCCUCUUCGCCCUUGGUCCUCACUCGACUCGCUUAGUCAACCCUACACUCAACGGGUUAUCACAAGUUGCGAAUCUUGGGGCAACCCGACUCGACUCGGCGAGUCCCUUAUGGGCUCGGCGAGUUCCUCCCAUAAAAACACUCAAACAAUCCUUUGAGGUCAGAUCUGCUUCACCAACCAAUAGAUCUAACCUCCUAACACUUGAAAGUCACGUAAAGGUUCAAAAUUUACGUUCAUGCAAUGCUUAUAAGACCAAAAAUGGAGAAAUAACCUUUAAAAUGGGGUUCUACUCUCAUGGCUCACAUGAAACUCCAUAAAGCUGGAAGCUUGGGACCUUUUAGACCUCUCAAGGUCCAGAUCUAUCAUCUAUACCAAAAGGGACCCAAAAUGAUUCACAAUCCAACUCAAAAUGGCACAAAGGAAACCCUAUAUUCAAGGAAUCUAUCAAAUACACGAAAUGGGAAGGAACUUGUACCUCAAAACGUGAAUCACAUUGUGACAACACAGAUCCAAGCUCCACAAUCGAUCUAGCUUAGAUCUUCCCAAUCCUUCUUGCAAGAUCACACCAAAGGAUGAAGAAUUAGCCUUCAAAAUUCUCUCUAAGCUCUCUUUUCUCUCUAGGGUUUUCACAGGGGAGUAAUGGCCACAAAUGACUGCCAUAAUGGCCUUUAAAUAAGGCUCAGGCCCGAAGAUUUCGGGUUUCACUUAACAGCGCAAACUCGUUGAGUCCACUCAUCAACUCGUCGAGUCCGGUCAUUAAUCCAGACAGAAUUCGCGAUCCUGAUCGGCGAUUCUGAGCGCCUACUCGCCGAGUCCGUCCCUAAAUCUCAAGAUAAAUACUUAAAAUAAGAUACCUGGGAAUCCGGAUGUUACAGACACAUUUUGGGACUCAAUUAUGGGGUUUGGACAUCUGGAUUUAUGCAUUAAGAACUUAAUGGAAGGUUUGGCUCAUUGGGUGUGUAUGCUGGGCGUACAAGUCUAUACGCAUAGCGUACAAGCCAAACAACAAGUACUUUAAGCGUACAGAAGAUUACGCCCCGCGUACUCCGUCAGGAAGGUUUUGCAUGUUGGGUUUCGAUUUAGGCUAUCUGUUGGGACCUGUUGGGCCAUCGGGUUUUGGGUUGUUAAUUAUUUUGUGAUGGCCUACAAUGGGUUUGGGCCCAAUUUGGAAAAUUGGGCCAUGGAUUAGGCCUUGGUUGAUUUUUUGUAGUUCGGCCUUGUGGAUUAUAUGGUUUGGGCCUAAGUCUUGGUCCGAACUAGGUGAGGGGUCAAUUCGUGUAUUUAUCCAGGGUAUAGAUUACGGAUAUAUAUUGGGACCCAAAUGUUGAUUUGGUGUUGUUUUGAUAUUGACAUUUCGGGGACCUGUCCGCCGACAGCCGAGGAUUUUCUGUGUGAUUCGGUGGUUCCAGGUGAGUCUCCUCACUAUGUUUAGCGGGUCCAAGGUACCAAUAUCGGCCCAUGAUUUGUUAUGCCUAGUAUGCUUGUUGUAUGCAUGACUCUUGUAUGUGUUAUGCAUAUUACGUUUACCGAGCAGGGCUCAAUGUCGGGUGGGGCCUGAAGAGUAUAUGGUAUGCUGGUUAUCUUUAGGUAUUUUUAUGAUUACUAGGUACGACCCGAUGCCGGACGGGACCCGAAGGCUAGUCUGUAUGCUAUUUAUCUUUGUGAUUAUGGCAUGUGUUGUGUGUUCAUAUGUUUAUAUGUUUAUAUGUUAUAUGUUAUAUGUUUAUAUGCUUAUACUGGGCGGGGGCCCGAUGCUAGGCAGGGCAUGAUGAUUGACAAAUCUGUAUACCGAGUGGCGCUUGAUGUUGGGCGGGGUCCGAUCACGGACAUGGUCAGAUGCCGGGCAGAGCCCGGUGACAGGACGGGGCCCAUUAUGUGUUUAUUUAUUUAUGUAUGGUAUGUGGUAUUUUAGGGAACUCAGUAAGCUUUGUGGUUACAGUUUUCAAUUAUGUUUCAGGUGCUUCAAUUCUUAAAAAUGGAAGAGCUCGGGAUUAUUUUAGGGCACGUACACCAUGUUUCCGCAUCCUGUGAUUUACUUUGGUUUAAUGAUGUUUUGCUAAAUCUUAACUACCUUGGUUUUAUGGAAAUGAUAUGUAUUAAUGAUUUAUUAAUCUAAAAACAAAAAUUUUAUCUCAUUAUUUUUGGGACAUUUCAAACUGGUAUCACAGCCUUGAUUUGAGAGAUUCGGAAACACUCUCAGGUGUGUCUGCACUCAAACUGAGGAUUUCGAAAGUUUUUCAGAAAGAAAUAUAUUUUUAAGAAAAAGACUUUUCUAACGGUAGAAAGUGUGUGGUGCAUGCGUUCAGUCGAGUUCAAGUAAUUUUUCCCAAAUUACACAUAUAUGUUAUCUGUUAUGAUUUGAUCUGUGAAUAUGUGAAUUGCAUGCUAGUUAGGGCUAAGGAUAUGUUCAGUUUUUGCAUGAUAUAAUGCUAGGAGAGAUGCCUUUGUAUGCCUAUUGAAUGAGCUUGUAGACUUGGAUGCUAGUUCUGAUUAGCCAGUGAUAGGUUGGACUGAUAUGUGAUGCAUGGUAGCCUAGGAAGCAUGAGAUGCUAGUUUGAGCAUGAUUUGGAUGUGUAAGGAAAUCAGUAAGCGAGAGUGGGGGCUCCUAGUAUGGUUUGUAGUAUGUGGGAUUGGAUGUUCAUGAUUAUCCGGUGGAUUGGAGUGUUUCUGCACAAAUGUUGCUAGCUUUAUACUUUGUGGAAAUCUUAGGUGAUGGGAGUUAACCACUAAGUGAAUAUAGCAAGUCACAUGUGACAAGGGUUUAAUAAUCUCAGAGUGAUGGACUUGACCCUAUUACGCGUCUGAGUCCAGCCAUUAUAGGGAUGAUUCUGUUACUCGAAGGAUUAUCUAAUCAUUUUUGCAUGUGAUUUUAUUCAUGAGGUCAGUAACUAGCAUUAUAGGGAGUUCUUCAGCUGCUAAUGGCAGGGUGAGGUCGGAAACCUAGGAAACCUAGGAGAGCGUAGGGAUUGUUUCGGUGGGGUCUUUUUGCACUGGCUAGCGAGUGUUUGACGUACGGAUUUGACAAGGUGACUUAGAGGAUUCAAGAGGAUUCUUGAGGAAAGUAUGGAUAUGUAUGGAAGGUAGUAUUGGGCCCAUACUGCUGAAAGCAUAGGAUCCAUACUCGAAUUGGGAAGAGUCUUGGAAAAUCUAGGAAGCCUAUGGGAUGUGGAUUCUUGGGUAUAUUCGGCUCUUUUGUAUGUUGUUAUCAGUAUGGUGUUGAGCAGUCAGAAAUGGGGUUCAGGUUAUGGUUGUGGCUCAGGUGCAGGUACUGAGUCGAUCGAUGCAUUCAUGCGAGAGUUCAUCUCAUCGGAUAUUACUUAUUGUAUGUUGGAAUGGGUCUCAGGAGUCUUUGAUGCAGUCAAAGAUAGGAACUUGGAGCUCUUGGAUGGUCAUCUCGGGGCCUUUCGGUCCGAGAUUGUAGUAGAGAAAUUGGGGGCUCAUGUGGAGCCCAAAGCUUGUGGAUCCCUAUAAGUUUUUAUGAAGGAGGACCUUAUUUGUUAGUUUUUGUAAGUGUGAAUCGAGAGUGAUUUUUUCACCAUUUUCUCAGGAAGAGGAGGGUAGGAUUCCUUCAAAUACUUUUACGGGUAUGUCAUCUUAUGUUUUUUUCUGGGUUGUUAUUGGGAAUUUGUAUUGCAUUGGAAUUUUGCUUGGGUUUGGGUAAGUUAUAUCUAGGUUUGGUCUUCUGCUAUUGUCUGGGUUAUAAUAGACUGGUAUAUGACAUUCUGCAUGCCGAGAGUCUUCGAUGAAUCUUUAGAGAGUUGUAUCUUGUCGAGCGGGUUUCAAUGUAUUCUGUUGUUGAUCCGGGUCUUUGUUAGGAUUAAUUUAGGGGUAUUUCUUGAAGUAUAUUUGGUCAUGGUUAGCAGGUUAGUUCUCCAAGGAAGUCAGUAUUUAGCGGUUUUAUCAUUUGUUCUGGUAGGAUCGACGGUUGCCUAUGGAAGAACUAUUGGGUUUAAGUGUUCGGUUUUGAGCAUUCUAACACUCCUAAGUGUGCAUGCAACCCUAAAUACCUUGGAUCUAUGUUUUCUCUAGUUUACAUGCAAAUAUGAAUAUUCAAAAGUAUUACCCUAACUAGCAUACAAUCUUUUGAUACUUGAAUAACAAACUAGAUAGAAAUACAUACCUUGUUGAUGUAGCUUAACUCCAUGAAGCUUGAGAGCAUAGUUCCCCAAGUGUGACACCUCAAAUGGUUCAUACAACAUCAAAUACACAUGAAAUAACUUACAGAGAAAUGAUACGCUUCAUGAAAUCGGCUAGCCCUCACCAUUCCUUCAUAGUGUCUCAUGGUGGCCGAUUUUGACAAGAAUAAGAUGCUUAUAUAGUGUGUCACAAUUAGGGUUACACCAUGUAAACCCUAAUUGUCAUGGCCUUUCAUUUCCAUGAUCCAUGGGUACAAAAACACCAUGGAGCAUCCUAUGGGUUUUAGCCCAACUUGAUAAUGCAUGGAGCAUUAGCCCACUAUACAAGUAUGGAUGACUUACACAAUCAACCCAUAUAUUUAAUUAGUCUCCUUUUAAUCACUUAAUUAAUUCCAAGUUAAUUCUUGAUCAAUACUAAUUAAAUAAUCUUAUUAAUAUAUUAGAACUUAUAAUAUAUUACCAAACCUUAAGUGUUAUUUCUCUCCUUUUAGUCUAUCCAAAUGCAUGAUGCCAUGCAACCCAAAUGGACCAUGUUGGGUCAGGUCAAGUACAUACCAAAUAUAGUUAUGGACUUAGACACUAAUCCAACAGUCUCCCACUUGGAUAAGUCUAAAACUAUUGUGUAUGACUUUAAAAACCAACUGGCAAUCGUAGCUCUCAAAAGUCGUUGUUGAACUCUGAUCUUUGUCAAUGACUUGUCCAUUAGAUAAAAGAUCAUAUAUUCCUCCAUUCUAGAUAUCAUAUGGACUGAGACAUUUGUUGUAUCCCGAUUUCCAAUUCAUGGUGACUGACUGAUUGAACAGAUCAAAUCAAUCUUGGCUUGGCCAAGCACUUACAUGUGUCAUCAUUAAAUCAUCAAGGGGCCCAUAGAUAUCGCUUUUAUCCCGAAGGUAAAAGGAAUGGAUAAACUUCGAAUCAUAUGGCUUGUUCUACUACUUGUUGAAUCAAACACAAAGGCACAUUUUAUAACAUCGACUUACCAAUGCGGUUUCGUGCAAUCAAUGUAUAAACAACUCAUAGUAAUAACACAUAUCUCUAGGUUUGAAGAAUAUAAGAUAUUAUCAUCUCAUGAUCACUCGUGAUAAAAUCCAUGAAGUGAUUCCAAUGAGCGCGGGUUGAAUCCAAUACUCAGAACUUAUGAGCACUCAUGAGUGUUGUAGCACCACUUUUUCCAACACCUUAGACCUCUACAAGCCAAUCCAUGACAGUCUUGAUUCAUAUCUACUUCCAACAUAUGACCGACUGUGGAUGGUUUGAAAAACAUAGUCAAUCAGGAAGAACAACCUAGUUAUUCUGGAAGUCAAAAAAUGCAAAGUGAAACACAAGAAUAAUCGAAUCUAAUAUGGUCUCAGAACUUAUGAAUAUAAUUAAAACAUCUUUUAUUUAUAACCAUAUUGAUUACCCAUCAUUUAAUGCAUACUAUUUCAGACUAUCAACUUUAU